rnacentral:rRNA from 1 species
AGCAGUCGCCACGGUAAUACGGAGGGUGCGAGCGUUAAUCGGAAUUACUGGGCGUAAAGCGUACGCAGGCGGUUUGUUAAGUCAGAUGUGAAAUCCCCGAGCUUAACUCGGGAACUGCAUUUGAAACCGGCAAGCUAGAGUGUGUCAGAGGAUGGUGGAAUUCCCGGUGUAACGGUGAAAUGCGUAGAGAUCGGGAGGAACAUCAGUGGCGAAGGCGGCCAUCUGGGACAACACUGACGCUGAGGCACGAAAGCGUGGGGAGCAAACAGGAUUAGAGACCCCAGUAGUCCCUGUCUCUUAUAC